GACGAACGCUGGCGGCGUGCUUAACACAUGCAAGUCGAACGGAAAGGCCCUGCUUUGUUGGGGUGCUCGAGUGGCGAACGGGUGAGUAACACGUGAGUAACCUGCCCUUUACUUUGGGAUAACUUCAGGAAACUGGGGCUAAUACCGGAUAGGACCUCCUGCUGCAUGGUGGGGGUUGGAAAUUUUCGGCGGCUGGGGAUGGACUCGCGGCUUAUCAGCUUGUUGGUGGGGUAGUGGCUUACCAAGGCUUUGACGGUUAGCCGGCCUGAGAGGGUGACCGGCCAUAUUGGGACUGAGAUACGGGCCAGACUCCUACGGGAGGCAGCAGUGGGGAAUAUUGCACAAUGGGCGGAAGCCUGAUGCAGCAACGCCGCGUGCGGGAUGACGGCCUUCGGGUUGUAAACCGCUUUCGCCUGUGACGAAGCGUGAGUGACGGUAAUGGGUAAAGAAGCACCGGCUAACUACGUG
rnacentral:rRNA from 1 species